rnacentral:rRNA from 1 species
GAUGAACGCUGGCGGCGUGCCUAAUACAUGCAAGUCGAGCGAACAGACGAGGAGCUUGCUCCUCUGACGUUAGCGGCGGACGGGUGAGUAACACGUGUAUAACCUACCUAUAAGACUGGGAUAACUUCGGGAAACCGGAGCUUAUACCGGAUAAUAUAUUGAACCGCAGGGGGCAAUAGUGAAAGUCGGUGUUUGUGGCUCUAAUAGCUGGAUCCGGGCCGGGUGAGCUAGUUGGUAAGGUAACGGCUUACCAAGGCAAGUAUGCGUAGCCGACCUGAGAGGGUGAUCGGCCACAUGGGAACGGAGACACGGACCAUACUCCUGCGGGAGGCAGCAGUCGGGAAUCUUACGCAAUGGGGGAGAGCCUGACGGAGCAACGCGGCGUGAGUGAUGAAGGUGUUCGGAUCGUAAAGCUCUGUUAUUAGGGAAGAACCAAUGUGUAAGUAACUGUGCAGGUCUUGACGGUAACUGGUCAGAAAGCCACGGCUAACUACGUG